rnacentral:rRNA from 1 species
CGUGUGCUUACAAGUAGUCAGAGCCCGUUAAUGGGUGAUGGCGUGCCUUUUGUAGAAUGAACCGGCGAGUUACGAUUUGAUGCAAGGUUAAGCAGUAAAUGUGGAGCCGUAGCGAAAGCGAGUCUGAAUAGGGCGUUUAGUAUUUGGUCGUAGACCCGAAACCAGGUGAUCUACCCUUGGUCAGGUUGAAGUUCAGGUAACACUGAAUGGAGGACCGAACCGACUUACGUUGAAAAGUGAGCGGAUGAACUGAGGGUAGCGGAGAAAUUCCAAUCGAACCUGGAGAUAGCUGGUUCUCUCCGAAAUAGCUUUAGGGCUAGCCUCAAGUGAUGAUUAUUGGAGGUAGAGCACUGUUUGGACGAGGGGCCCCUCUCGGGUUACCGAAUUCAGACAAACUCCGAAUGCCAAUUAAUUUAACUUGGGAGUCAGAACAUGGGUGAUAAGGUCCGUGUUCGAAAGGGAAACAGCCCAGACCACCAGCUAAGGUCCCAAAAUAUAUGUUAAGUGGAAAAGGAUGUGGCGUUGCCCAGACAACUAGGAUGUUGGCUUAGAAGCAGCCAUCAUUUAAAGAGUGCGUAAUAGCUCACUAGUCGAGUGACACUGCGCCGAAAAUGUACCGGGGCUAAACAUAUUACCGAAGCUGUGGAUUGUCCUUUGGACAAUGGUAGGAGAGCGUUCUAAGGGCGUUGAAGCAUGAUCGUAAGGACAUGUGGAGCGCUUAGAAGUGAGAAUGCCGGUGUGAGUAGCGAAAGACGGGUGAGAAUCCCGUCCACCGAUUGACUAAGGUUUCCAGAGGAAGGCUCGUCCGCUCUGGGUUAGUCGGGUCCUAAGCUGAGGCCGACAGGCGUAGGCGAUGGAUAACAGGUUGAUAUUCCUGUACCACCUAUAAUCGUUUUAAUCGAUGGGGGGACGCAGUAGGAUAGGCGAAGCGUGCG